rnacentral:rRNA from 1 species
UACGCAGGUGACCAGCGUUGUCCGGAUUUACUGGGCGUAAAGGGCGCGUAGGCGGUCGUGACAAGUCACUUGUGAAAUCUCCGGGCUUAACUCGGAACGGUCAAGCGAUACUGUCGGACUAGAGUACAGAAGGGGCAACUGGAAUUCUCGGUGUAGCGGUGAAAUGCGUAGAUAUCGAGAGGAACACCUGCGGCGAAGGCGGGUUGCUGGGCUGAUACUGACGCUGAGGCGCGAAAGCCAGGGGAGCGAACGGG